AGCGAACGCUGGCGGCAGGCCUAACACAUGCCAGUCGAACGAACCUUUCGGGGUUAGUGGCGGACGGGUGAGUAACACGUGGGAACGUGCCUUUAGGUUCGGAAUAACUCAGGGAAACUUGUGCUAAUACCGAAUGUGCCCUUCGGGGGAAAGAUUUAUCGCCUUUAGAGCGGCCCGCGUCUGAUUAGCUAGUUGGUUGAGGUAAUGGCUCACCAAGGCGACGAUCAGUAGCUGGUCUGAGAGGAUGAUCAGCCACAUUGGGACUGAGACACGGCCCAAACUCCUACGGGAGGCAGCAGUGGGGAAUCUUGCGCAAUGGGCGAAAGCCUGACGCAGCCAUGCCGCGUGAAUGAUGAAGGUCUUAGGAUUGUAAAAUUCUUUCACCGGGGAUGAUAAUGACGGUACCCGGAGAAGAAGCCCCGGCUAACUUCGUG
rnacentral:rRNA from 1 species